CCUACGGGUGGCUGCAGUGGGGAAUAUUGCACAAUGGAGGAAACUCUGAUGCAGCGACGCCGCGUGAGUGAAGAAGGUCUUCGGAUCGUAAAACUCUGUCCUUGGUGAAGAUAAUGACGGUAGCCAAGGAGGAAGCCCCGGCUAACUACGUGCCAGCAGCCGCGGUAAUACGUAGGGGGCGAGCGUUGUCCGGAUUUACUGGGCGUAAAGGGUGAGUAGGCGGUUAUAUAUGUCAGGUGUAAAAGAUCAUGGCUUAACCAUGGUUAGCACUUGAAACUGUAUGACUUGAGUGCAGGAGAGGUAAGCGGAAUUCCUAGUGUAGCGGUGAAAUGCGUAGAUAUUAGGAGGAACACCAGUGGCGAAGGCGGCUUACUGGACUGCAACUGACGCUGAGUCACGAAAGCGUGGGUAGCAAACAGGAUUAGAUACCCCAGUAGUC
rnacentral:rRNA from 1 species